rnacentral:lncRNA from 1 species
AUGGAAAACAGAGAAAGUGGGCAGGAGAGGCCGCGAUGGAAAAACAAACUGGUUUUCAGUGACGGUGAGGUUGUUAGUGCUGAGCUGCUGCCGGUAUUGGAAGGAGACAAACCAGUGCUUGAAGCAGGGACCUCUGGAGCCCUCGUCUCCUGGAAAGCAAGCUUUAACGAGCCGGGGGGCGAGCGGGGAGGAGAAGCUGCAGCGACAGCAGCAGCGAGCAUCCCGCCCAGGGAGGCGUGCAAGCUGCUGCACGGCCCCGCAACCAGCCAAGAGCAGAGCGAGCCAAGGCGCCAGCCCGGGAGCCAAGAGCAGCUCCAGCUGCCGCUUUUGGGGAAGGAGGAGGAGGAGGAGGAGGAGAGGGGGGGGACGGACUCGGCGACUUCGCCGCGCUUGGCACUCGAGCCCGACAGCCCGGCCAAGCGUGCCCCUGGAGUGCCCGUAGCGGAGCAGCGAGUGACACACAUUCCCUGGGGAGAUAUUUCCACUUUUUUAUGAUUCUUCAGGCUUCUGUGACAUUUCCCAAGUCCAGUUGUUGGAGCCUUAGGUUCAAGCCUCUACACCACCCUGGACAAUAUCCCAGCAGAGGUAAUUUGGCCCUUCAACCUUCAGCAGUGAAUACAUUGACUUCAUGGUGUGCACAGUGUGGGAGUGGGAUUCUUGCGCAAAACCCUAAAACCCACGGUGGAAACCUGUCAUUGAGUGCUCAGUGACACCACAUUCAGCAUUUUUCA